rnacentral:lncRNA from 1 species
AUGAUUACUCCUAGAAUUUUAGGGAAAUUGGAAGAUGACUCAGCUGGCUUUGAGGAAGGCAGAGAUCCAGAGCGCUUGGCUUUUUCCUCCAGGCUGCAUGGAUUUCCUGCUUCAUUCUGUGACUCACUAGGCUGGCUUUAUAAAACCUUAGAAAUCUCCACACUGUUUUCCACAGUGGCUGCACCAGUCACAGCUUAUCUUUUAUCAAGACUGCUGGGGAAGAAAAUCCAAUCAACUAUGGCUAAGGAGUAUGCAGAGAAGGCAAACAUGGCUUCCCAGAGAAGUGGAAUCAUUUUGAGCUGGUCAUAUACCCUUAAAACUAUAUAUUAAAAAGUGGGAUGGGGGGCUGGCCCCGUGGCCGAGUGGUUAAGUUCGCACACUCUGCUGCAGGUGGCCCAGUGUUUCAUUGGUUCGAAUCCUGGGCGUGGACAUGGCACAGCUCAUCAAACCACGCUGAGGCAGCGUCCCACAUGCCACAACUAGAAGGACCCACAACAAAGAAUAUACAACUAUGUACUUGGAGGGCUUUGGGGAGAAAAAGGAAAACAAUAAAAUCUUUGGAAAAAAAAAAAAGUGGGAUGGG